UUUUUGAAAAAUUAAUUUCAAUCAUAAACAAACCUUGAUUAGGAUUCGAAGUUUCUCCAAGCUUCUUCUACUUUUGCUCCGCAAGAUAAUCCUUGUAGUUCCUCUUUCAGUGACCCGACUUGUUGCAAUAGAAGCAAAUUCUUUUGCUAGCUGGAUCAGGUUUCUUUUGAUCCUUCACUUUUACGUUACCCUUAGCCUUCUUGGAUUUCUUCUUUUCAUAAGAUACCUUAGGCCUCUACCUUUU
rnacentral:lncRNA from 1 species